rnacentral:rRNA from 1 species
AGAAUCAACGCUGGCGGCGUGCCUAACACAUGCAAGUCGAACGAGAAAGUGGAGCAAUCCAUGAGUACAGUGGCGACCGGGUGAGUAACACGUGACUACCUACCCUUGAGUGGGGGAUAACCUCGGGAAACCGAGGCUAAUACCGCAUAAUAUCGAGAGAUCAAAGGAGUAAUCCGCUUUUGGAGGGGGUCGCGGCUGAUUAGCUAGUUGGUAGGGUAAUGGCCUACAAAGGCGAAGAUCGGUAUCCGGCCUGAGAGGGCGCACGGACACACUGGAACUGAAACACGGUCCAGACUCCUACGGGAGGCAGCAGUGGGGAAUUUGCGCAAUGGGGGAAACCCUGACGCAGCAACGCCGCGUGGAGGAUGAAGCCCCUUGGGGUGUAAACUCCUUUCGACCGGGAAAAUAAUGAUGGUACCGGUGGAAGAAGCACCGGCUAACUCUGCGCCAGCAGCCGC